rnacentral:rRNA from 1 species
UUUUAGACAAUGGGGGCAACCCUGAUCCAGCAAUGCCGCGUGAGUGAAGAAGGCCUUCGGGUUGUAAAGCUCUUUUGUCAGGGAAGAAACACCGGCUCUAACACAGUCCGGGAAUGACGGUACCUGAAGAAUAAGCACCGGCUAACUACGUGCCAGCAGCCGCGGUAAUACGUAGGGUGCAAGCGUUAAUCGGAAUUACUGGGCGUAAAGCGUGCGCAGGCGGUUAUACAAGACAGGCGUGAAAUCCCCGGGCUUAACCUGGGAAUGGCGCCUGUGACUGUAUAGCUAGAGUGUGUCAGAGGGGGGUAGAAUUCCACGUGUAGCAGUGAAAUGCGUAGAUAUGUGGAGGAAUACCAAUGGCGAAGGCAGCCCCCUGGGAUAACACUGACGCUCAUGCACGAA